UGUGUGAGUGGUAGGGGAGCGUUCUGUAAGCCUGCGAAGGUGACUCGUAAGGGUUGCUGGAGGUAUCAGAAGUGCGAAUGCUGACAUGAGUAACGUUAAAGCGGGUGAAAAGCCCGCUCGCCGUAAGCCCAAGGUUUCCUGCUCUACGUUCAUCGGAGCAGGGUGAGUCGGCCCCUAAGGUGAGGCUGAGAAGCGUAACUGAUGGGAACAAGGUUAAUAUUCCUUGACCACCGCUGAAUGCGAAGGGGGGACGGAGUAUUGAAGAUCAUCCGGGUGUUGGAUAUCCCGGUUUGCGAGCGUAGGAGGCUGACAGGCAAAUCCGUCAGCGAAUCUCCGAGGCAAAGCAUCGAGCUCUCUUUUGAGCGAAGUGAUUGGAUGUGCUUCCAGGAAAAGCCUCUAAGCUCCAGUUCAGCGGGACCGUACCGCAAACCGACACUGGUGGGCGAGCUGAAUAUGCUCAGGCGCUUGAGAGAACUCAGGAGAAGGAACUCGGCAAAUUGACACCGUAACUUCGGGAUAAGGUGUGCCUUUGUAGCGUGGAGGGAGAAACACCCCGAGCGCGAAGAGGUCUCAGAUAAUCGGUGGCUGCGACUGUUUAUUAAAAACACAGCACUCUGCAAAGACGAAAGUCGACGUAUAGGGUGUGAUGCCUGCCCGGUGCUGGAAGAUUAAUUGAUGGGGUGCAAGCUCCUGAUCGAAGUCCCAGUAAACGGCGGCCGUAACUAUAACGGUCCUAAGGUAGCGAAAUUCCUUGUCGGGCAAGUUCCGACCUGCACGAAUGGCAUAACGAUGGCCACACUGUCUCCUCCUGAGACUCAGUGAAGUUGAAGUGUUUGUGAUGAUGCAAUCUCCCCGCGGCUAGACGGAAAGACCCCAUGAACCUUUACUGUAGCUUUGCAUUGGACUUUGAACCGAUCUGUGUAGGAUAGGCGGGAGCCUGUGAAACCACAACGCCAGUUGUGGCGGAGGCGUCCUUGAAAUACCGCCCUGAUUUGUUUGAGGUUCUAACCUGGGACAGUUAUCCUGUCCGGGGACCGUGCAUGGUAGGCAGUUUGACUGGGGCGGUCUCCUCCUAAAGGGUAACGGAGGAGUGCGAAGGUACGCUAGGUACGGUCGGAAAUCGUGCUGAUAGUGCAAUGGCAAAAGCGUGCUUGACUGCGAGACCCACAAGUCGAGCAGAUACGAAAGUAGGUCAUAGUGAUCCGGUGGCUCUGUAUGGAAGGGCCAUCGCUCAACGGAUAAAAGGUACUCUGGGGAUAACAGGCUGAUACCGCCCAAGAGUUCAUAUCGACGGC
rnacentral:rRNA from 1 species